GAGGGAUUAGCUAAAAUGGUAGAGCGCGCGCUUAGCAUGCGCGAAGUAGCGGGACCGAUGCCCGCAUCCUCCA
rnacentral:tRNA from 1 species